AUACGGAGGAUCCGAGCGUUAUCCGGAUUUAUUGGGUUUAAAGGGUGCGCAGGCGGCCAUUUAAGUCAGCGGUUAAAUCGUGGGGCUCAACCCCAUUCUGCCGUUGAUACUGGGUGGCUUGAUUGCGGUCGAGGUUGGCGGAAUUCGUUGUGUAGCGGUGAAACGCAUAGAUAUGACGAAGAACACCGAUUGCGUAGGCAGCUGACCAGACCGCAAAUGACGCUCAUGCACGAAAGUGCGGGGAUCGAACAGGAUUAGAUACCCUGGUAGUCCGCACAGUAAACGAUGAAUACUUGUUUUCGGCGAUAUAAUGUCGGAGGCAAAGCGAAAGCGAUAAGUAUUCCACCUGGGGAGUACGCCGGCAACGGUGAAACUCAAAUGAAUUGACGGGG
rnacentral:rRNA from 1 species